ACUUCCAUAUAUAUAUAUCUAUGUGUGCGUGUGCGCACAAACACAGAUAUAUAUAUAUGUGUGCAAGUAU